rnacentral:rRNA from 1 species
CACGUAGGGUGCGAGCGUUGUCCGGAAUUAUUGGGCGUAAAGAGCUCGUAGGCGGUGUGUCGCGUCGGCCGUGAAAACCUGCAGCUUAACUGUGGAACUGCUCGGUAUACUGCUGAUCUUGAGCCACUCAGGGGCUACCGGAACAAAUGGUGGAGCGGUGAAAUGCGUAGAUAUCAUUUGGAACGCCAAUGGUGAAAACAGGUAGCUGGGGGUGUGCUGACACUGAGACACGAAAGCCAGGGGAGCAAACGGG